rnacentral:piRNA from 1 species
UAUGGUCCCGGAAUCAAUCAG